CAAACGGGUGCGGAACACGUACACAACUUUCCUUUAAGUGGGGGAUAGCCCAGAGAAAUUUGGAUUAAUACCCCGUAAUAUUAUGAAGUGGCAUCAUUUUAUAAUUAUAGCUCCGGCGCUUGAAGAUGGGUGUGCGGCUGAUUAGGUAGUUGGCGGGGUAACGGCCCACCAAGCCUGCGAUCAGUAACUGGUGUGAGAGCACGACCAGUCACACGGGCACUGAGACACGGGCCCG
rnacentral:rRNA from 1 species